GAAUAUGAAGUGAUUUAUUACAAUUAGUUUCGACCUAAUCUUAGGUAUCAAUACCCUUAUUCU
rnacentral:tRNA from 1 species